GGCUCCAUAGUGUAGUGGUUAGCACAUCUGCUUUACACACAGAAGGUCCUGGGUUCAUACCCCAGGUGGGGCCA
rfam:Pteropus alecto contig40440, whole genome shotgun sequence.